rnacentral:rRNA from 1 species
UGAGGAAUAUUGGUCAAUGGGCGCAAGCCUGAACCAGCCAUGUCGCGUGCAGGACGACGGCCCUACGGGUUGUAAACUGCUUUUGUACGGGAAGAAAUAUAUCUACGAGUAGAUAUUUGCCGGUACCGUACGAAUAAGGAUCGGCUAACUCC